rnacentral:rRNA from 1 species
AGCGAACGCUGGCGGCAGGCUUAACACAUGCAAGUCGAGCGCCCCGCAAGGGGAGCGGCAGACGGGAGAGUAACACGUGGGAACAUACCUUUUGGUUCGGAACAACUGAGGGAAACUUCAGCUAAUACCGGAUAAGCCCUUACGGGGAAAGAUUUAUCGCCGAAAGAUUGGCCCGCGUCUGAUUAGCUAGUUGGUGAGGUAACGGCUCACCAAGGCGACGAUCAGUAGCUGGUCUGAGAGGAUGAUCAGCCUCACUGGGACUGAGACACGGCCCAGACUCCUACGGGAGGCAGCAGUGGGGAAUAUUGGACCAUGGGGGCAACCCUGAUCCAGCCCUGCCGCGUGAGUGAUGAAGGCCUUAGGGUUGUAAAGCUCUUUUGCCCGGGAAGAUAAUGACGGUACCGGGAGAAUAAGCCCCGGCUAACUUCGUG